UCCCGCAGGCAGGCCGGGUCAUGCCUGCCACCUCCCUGUUGAACCUUGCCCGGUGCGUGGGUCUCGCGCCCGCCACCGGGCAUCUUU
rfam:Sagittula stellata E-37 1101159001472, whole genome shotgun sequence.